rnacentral:rRNA from 1 species
GACGAACGCUGGCGGCGUGCUUAACACAUGCAAGUCGAACGAUGAAAGAGAAUCCGCUCUCUUCGGAGUGAAGAAUCUCUGGAUUAGUGGCGGACGGGUGAGUAACGCGUGAGCAAUCUGCCUUACACAAAGGGAUAGCCUCGGGAAACCGGGAUUAAUACCAUAUGAUAUCUAUUAACCGCAUGGUCUAUAGAUUAAAGAAUUUCGGUGUAAGAUGAGCUCGCGUCCCAUUAAUUAGUUGGUGAGGGUAACGGCCCACCAAGAUAGCGAUGGGUAGCCGAUCUAAGAGGAUGACCGGCCACAUUGGAACUGAGAAACGGUCCAAACUCCUACGGGAGGCAGCAGUGGGGAAUAUUGCACAAUGGGGGAAACCCUGAUGCAGCGACGCCGCGUGAGCGAUGAAGGCUUUCGAGUCGUAAAGCUCUGUCCUAUGGGAAGAUAAUGACGGUACCAUAGAAGAAAGCCCCGGCUAAUUACGUG